GACGAACGCUGGCGGCGUGCCUAACACAUGCAAGUCGAACGGAGUAAAGAGCUUCGGUUUUUUACUUAGUUGGCGGACGGGUGAGUAACGCGUGAGUAACCUGCCUCCGAGAGGGGAAGUAACAAUCUGAAAAGAAUUGCUAAUACCGCAUAACAUAUGUUUACCGCAUGGUAGAUAUAUCAAAGAUUUAUCGCUCGGAGAUGGACUCGCGUCCGAUUAGGUAGUUGGUGAGGUAACGGCGUCACCAAGCCGACGAUCGGUAGCCGGACUGAGAGGUUGAACGGCCACAUUGGGACUGAGACACGGCCCAGACUCCUACGGGAGGCAGCAGUGGGGGAGUAUUGCGCAAUGGGGGCAACCCUGACGCAGCAAUGCCGCGUGAAGGAUGAAGGUUUUCGGAUUGUAAACUUCUUUUAUUAAGGACGACAAUGACGGUACUUAAUGAAUAAGCUCCGGCUAACUACGUGCCAGCAGCCGCGGU
rnacentral:rRNA from 1 species